rnacentral:rRNA from 1 species
UACGUAGGGGCUAGCGUUGUCCGGAAUCAUUGGCGUAAAGCGCGUGUAGGCGGUCCGGUAAGUCCGCUGUGAAGACCCGGGGCUCAACUCCGGAAUUGCCUUUAAGGACUGCAUCGCUAGAAUUGUGGAGAGGUAAGUGGAAUUCCGAGUGUAGAGGUGGAAAUUCGAUAGAUAUUCGGAAGAACACCAGUGGCGAAGGCGAACUUGACUGGACACAGUAU